CAACAACCGCCAUAUGCUUUUUCUUUUUCUUUACCAUAUCAAACAGUCCUACACGCAACACGUGAUGCAACAGCGCAUAGCAAACAAUAAGUUUCCGAGGGAUCAAUGGAUAUAUGGAGUCAUAAAUCUGUUGGAACUUUUGCCAAUUAUCGUCUGAAAACACCCGGACUCCCCAAGAACCUAUGCCAGGAUCCUGUUUGUGGAUUUCAGCUCUGCUUUCAACAGCAUCAUCCCAGCUUUGUUACAGGACAAGCUCUCCCAGCUCACUGUGCCUGCCUCCACCUGCAGGUGGAUCACAGACUUCCUGUCUGACAGGAAACAGCAUGUGAAGCUGGGGAAAAAUGCCUCUGUCUCUCAGUCCAUCAGCACUGGAUCCCCCCAGGGCUGCGUUCUUUCUCCUCUGCUCUUCUCCCUGUACACCAACAGCUGCACCUCCAGUCACCAGUCCGUCAGGCUCCUGAAGUUUGUUGAUGACACCUCCCUCAUUGGGCUCACCUCUGGUGGAGAUGAGUCCGCCUAGAAGAGAUGGUGGAGAUGGUUGUGGACUUUAGAAAGAACCCAGCCCCACCUGCCCCCAUCAUCCUGUUUGACUCCCCAGUUGACUCUGUGGAGUCCUUCCGCUUCCUGGGUACCAUAAUCCUUUUUGUUUGAGUUGUAUAUUUUUGUGUGAUUUGUAUAUUUUAUGCACCAAUGCACAAAGAGAAAUUCCUUGUAUGUGUAAAAACCUACCUGGCAAUAAACCUAAUUCUGAUUCUGAUUCUGA